rnacentral:rRNA from 1 species
UACGUAGGGGGCAAGCGUUGUCCGGAUUCAUUGGGCGUAAAGGGUGCGUAGGCGGCGCGGUAAGUCGGGUGUGAAAUCUCGGAGCUUAACUCCGAAACUGCAUUCGAUACUGCCGUGCUUGAGGGUUGCAGAGGAGACUGGAAUUCCCGGUGUAGCGGUGAAAUGUGUAGAGAUCGGGAGGAACACCGGUGGCGAAGGCGGGUCUCUGGGCAAUUCCUGACGCUGAGGCGCGAAAGCGUGGGGAGCAAACGGG